rnacentral:rRNA from 1 species
UACGGAGGGGGCUAGCGUUGUUCGGAAUUACUGGGCGUAAAGCGCACGUAGGCGGACUGUUAAGUCGGGGGUGAAAUCCUGGGGCUCAACCUCAGAAUUGCCUCCGAUACUGGCAGUCUCGAGUGCGGGAGAGGUGAGUGGAAUUCCCAGUGUAGAGGUGAAAUCGUAGAUAUUGGGAAGAACACCAGUGGCGAAGGCGGCUUACUGGUCCGG